rnacentral:rRNA from 1 species
UACGUAGGGUGCAAGCGUUAAUCGGAAUUACUGGGCGUAAAGCGUGCGCAGGCGGUUAUGUAAGACAGAUGUGAAAUGCCCGGGCUUAACCUGGGAACUGCAUUUGUGACUGCAUGGCUAGAGUUUGGCAGAGGGGGGGUAGAAUUCCACGUGUAGCAGUGAAAUGCGUAGAUAUGUGGAGGAACACCGAUGGCGAAGGCAGCCCCCUGGGUCAAGACUGACGCUCAUGCACGAAAGCGUGGGGAGCAAACAGGAUUAGAGUACCCGA